rnacentral:rRNA from 1 species
GAUGAACGCUAGCUACAGGCUUAACACAUGCAAGUCGAACGGAGUUAUUCUGAAUGAAGUUUUCGGAUGGAUUUUGGAUUAACUUAGUGGCGAACGGGUGAGUAACGCGUGAGUAACCUGCCCUGGAGUGGGGGACAACAGUUGGAAACGACUGCUAAUACCGCAUAAGCCCACGGUGCCGCAUGGCACAGCGGGAAAAGGAUUUAUUCGCUUCAGGAUGGACUCGCGUCCAAUUAGCUAGUUGGUGAGGUAACGGCCCACCAAGGCGACGAUUGGUAGCCGGACUGAGAGGUUGAACGGCCACAUUGGGACUGAGACACGGCCCAGACUCCUACGGGAGGCAGCAGUGGGGGAUAUUGCACAAUGGGGGAAACCCUGAUGCAGCGACGCCGCGUGGAGGAAGAAGGUUUUCGGAUCGUAAAGCUCUGUUGUAAGAGAAAAACGGGCACUCAUAGGGAAUGAUGAGUGAGUGAUGGGUAUCUUACCAGC